rnacentral:tRNA from 1 species
GUCGAACGGUAGCGUAGUGGUAGCGUGUGCGGUGUGCCUGUUGAGAGGGCGUGGGUUCGAAUCCCCCUCGACA